UUCAGUUGGAAAAACCUGUCCUUUGAAAACUACUGGCAUCAGGAAGUUUAAUUUAAUUACCAGGUUAUGGGGUUGACAAAGACCUAGGAGCGGGCCUUUGGCAAGUUUCAGCUGAUUCUGAAACUGAGUGGUUUCACACCGGAACACAGCAAAAUAGACAAGAACAGGAAGUGGAAAAAACAUUUUGACCUAGUGGAAACUACCUUUUGUUCACCUGCAUUCCUCCAAAACAGCAGUCAAAUUAGCCCAGAAACCUACCCUUCUAGGGAGUCUCCCCAGAUGGUGUGUCCCCCAAAGGGACUUUGUCGAUGAAUUUUAUGCUCCAGUUACUCAGAAGAGAGUUCUAAAGGCACUGGUAGGGGAACUUGAGGUUGUUUCCCUGUCUUCACAACAAAAUAGCUCACUCUCUCUUGCAUGCCCUGGAAGAAAGAAACUGCAUGGGGGUGGGGAAACAAGUCCAGACCCAGGGCAAAGUUCUGAACCAGUGCAAGAAAAAUCUUCAAAUGCAAUUGCUGGAAUAGCUUCUCCAUAUGGAGGGACAGAGAGUGAUGUGGACCAUCUUUUGAGUAUUGUGAUACCUGAUUGCCCUUCUGGAGUGACCACAUGGGGAGGCCCUGGUGCUCUGUGGAGCAGGAGACAGACCCAGCUGAGUGAAGCUUUCUAGCUGUCCCCGCCAAGGAGCCUCAUGUCAGUGAAACCAUCUCAACCCUCCAGUACCACCCAGCCACCAACCAAAUGACACCAGAUGAUUCUAGUUGAUGCUACAUGGAGUAGAAGAAUCGUCCAGCGGAACCCUUUCCAAAUUGCUGACCCAAACAAUUGUGAAAUAAAAUAAAAAUGGUUAUUGUUUUAAA